AGUGAACGCUGGCGGCGUGCUUAACACAUGCAAGUCGAACGAGAACGGGUUAUAGCUUGCUAUAACUGUCAGCUAAGUGGCGCACGGGUGAGUAAUAUAUAGUUAACCUGCCCUAGAGAAGGGGAUAACGUUUGGAAACGAACGCUAAUACCCUAUAUGCCUUUAAGUCAUAAGACUGCAAGGGAAAUAUUUAUAGCUCUAGGAUGGGACUGUACGGUAUCAGCUAGUUGGUGAGGUAAUGGCUCACCAAGGCAAUGACGCCUAACUGGUUUGAGAGGAUGAUCAGUCACACUGGAACUGAGACACGGUCCAGACUCCUACGGGAGGCAGCAGUGGGGAAUAUUGCACAAUGGAGGAAACUCUGAUGCAGCAACGCCGCGUGGAGGAUGACACUUUUCGGAGCGUAAACUCCUUUUAUAUAGGAAGAUAAUGACGGUACUAUAU
rnacentral:rRNA from 1 species